rnacentral:rRNA from 1 species
GACGAACGCUGGCGGCGUGCUUAACACAUGCAAGUCGAACGAUGACGCCCGAGCUUGCUCGGUCUGAUUAGUGGCGAACGGGUGAGUAACACGUGAGCAACCUGCCCUUCACUCUGGGAUAACCUCGGGAAAUCGGGGCUAAUACCGGAUAUGAGCUCCUGUCGCAUGGCGGGUGUUGGAAAGUUUUUCGGUGAAGGAUGGGCUCGCGGCCUAUCAGUUUGUUGGUGAGGUAGUGGCUCACCAAGGCGAUGACGGGUAGCCGGCCUGAGAGGGCGACCGGCCACACUGGGACUGAGACACGGCCCAGACUCCUACGGGAGGCAGCAGUGGGGAAUAUUGCACAAUGGGCGAAAGCCUGAUGCAGCGACGCCGCGUGAGGGAUGACGGCCUUCGGGUUGUAAACCUCUUUCAGCAGGGAAGAAGCGAAAGUGACGGUACCUGUAGAAGAAGCGCCGGCUAACUACGUG